rnacentral:lncRNA from 1 species
UUGCCUCAUCUUUCUCAUUUCAUUUCUUCAUCUCAGCUCCAUAGCUCAACAGCCUCUUUUCAUAGAUCUACGUUUUUUCAUUUGUCAUUUCUGAAUUAUUCUUUUAGUUCUGGAUAGGUCGUUCGCUGAUCUACGUUUUGACUGUGGAUUUGUGUAGUUUUAAUCGGAAUUCAUUUCCAUUUCUGCUCGAUUGUGUUGGCAUAGAGUAUUAUUUAUUGAGGUCCGGUGAAUUUCAAGCUUAUAUAUACAGAUAUGUGGAGGUAUGGUUUGGAUCUUUUUCAUUUCGUACAGAUCUGCUACUUCUGUAAAUCUAUUUUUUGAAGGCAGAUUGACCUCUCGGUUGAUAGAUUAUUUGGAUGUCCUUUGUGUGUUUGUUAUCCGUAGUCUAUCUUUUGGAAUGUUGAAUCAGAUCUCGGAUCUUAUCGGAUGCAGAAGUUUUUGAAGGAUUGAUGAUGUUUAGAGGUAAUAAUAUCAUUUCCCUGUUUCGCUUUUGUGUUGUUUCUAUAUAAUUGAUUUUGAAUUUUUCGCUCAUACUGGUAUAAAUUAUGUGGGUCGUCCAAAAUUUGAGAUCAAAAUCAGUUAUAUAUCUUCAUAUAUAUAUAUAUAUAUAUAUAUAUAUAUAUAUAUUUCUUCAUAUAUAUAUAUAUACAUAUAUCUUCAUACGUGUAAACUAGUUCUCUUUUUUUUGUAGAUCUGUUUGUGAAAUAUCAUCUACGGUCGUCUAUCUCAGAUGAUGUUAGAGAAUUCAAUCUGCUGACCUGAUCGUUAAUCAUGGGAGCAGAAAAGCUGGCUGAUUGAUGAUGAAUGAUGGUUUGAUUCGUUGGUGAAGAUAAUUGAAUGGGUAUUUAAAGUGUUGUUAAUACUGUUAUGUUUCUGUCCAUUCUUUAAUUUUUUGUAGUCGAGAGAAAAGGGUGAUGAGGGAAUUAUGAGAAUUGUUAUUAUAUCUGUGUUAGCUGGCCUUUGCCAUGUCAGGUGCGCUUGCUUGGCAGGUCAAAAAUAACCUAAUAAAAUUAUCUUUUUUGUGUUUUUGAAGGGAGAUGGCACGGGGGUUUUUGCCCGGCUCUCUCUUCUUUUGGCGUCUCGUGUCCCUUUUUUUUAUCUUGCUUGGUAACUUCCAAACGUCAAACCGUCAAUCUUCUUUAUUCACACACGCGUCUGUCUUUGAGUUUUGAAUGGCUUUAGAUAUGUCUAUUCAUCUAAAUCCAUUCACUCAAAUAUGACGUCCAAUCGCAUAGUAACAUGAUUGAGCAAGCAAAUUACUGGAUUGGAUUCACCGAGUUACCUCAGUGCAAAGGUACAAAUUGCAACCAUCUUCAAUUAAUUUCAAGUAUCACAGUUCUCAACUCUAUUCAUCUUACUCAUGCGCUGAGCAAUUAUUAUUUAGCACUACAACUAAUUUAAUACAAGUGUUUCAUAUUCAAUAACAUUAUCUGACAGUUAUUUUAAUUUACAAAGUUUUAACUUUUGAUAAAGUCAUUAUUUAUAGGUAUUAGUUCUGAUAUGUAUUAGUUGAUUCAAUGUUUAUUACUGAUGAUAAAAUAAACUAUAUUUACAAAUGAUAAAUAUUAAACAUCACGGACACAAAUCUCUAGGACACAUUCAAAGUAUUGUUUAUACAAACAUCCAUGUAGUUCAUAAAUAUGCUUUUAUAUUAUAGCAAUAACCAAUUUGAAACUAUAAUUGUUAAUUAUUUUGUAAUACGUUGUUCAUCAUUGUUCAUUUUCUUUGUGGAAUCUUAAUUCUGUUAUGUAUUAGUUUAGUUGAUUCAAUGUUUAGUACUGAUGAUAAUAUACAACUAUAUUUACAAAUGAUAAAUAUUAAACAUCAUGGACACAAAUAUCUACAACCCAUUUAAAGUGUUGUUUAUACAAACAUCAUUCACAAGUGUAGUUCAUAAAUAUGCUUUAAUUAAAGCAAAAUCCAAUUUGAAACUAUAAUUGUUAACUAUUUUGCAAUACUUGUUCAUCAACUAUUAGUCCAUGUCCCACUUGUUCAUGUUCUUUGUAGUAUCUUAGAUCUAUUUUUAUUUUUUUGGAAGAUAGUGUACUAUGUAUUGUUGAGAGGGAAGUUGUGAAUUGUUGAGAGGGAAAUUGAGUGAUGAUUGUUGGUCAACAUGGUGACCUGUAAAGAGUGAAUGUAUUGUUUUUAGCCUUCUAAUUUCAGGAUUUGAAGCUGCAGUGUUGUACUAGCCAGUAAAUUCAAAAUGUCACCCAUAUUCUAGUGGCGUGUUUGUGCUAUUGUUCAACAGAGAAAUUUGUUCAUCGCAUGGUGUUUUGGGUUGCUGUUCGAGUUGAAGUUCAAUAUUCUUCUGAUGGUGCUGUUCAAUCGGUGGAUUGCUGUUUGAGUUGAAGUUUGAUUAUGAUGUGCUGAUGGAGAGCUAUUCAUUCCGUGGCUUAUUACCUUCAUAUGGAGUUGGUAAAUCAAUUGCUUAUUUCAUAUCUGGAUUUGGUGCUUGAUUUACAUGCUUGAUUCUACCACACAUGAGAUCAAUUUGUAACAUCUAAUCAUCAGCAGGUACACUGAAAUCUUUAUCCUGAUUGCUUGAAGAUAUUAUUACAGUUUUGUGCAAAUGUAUUUUAUGAUCUGAUUUCAAGAGUUUUGAACCCUGUGGCUGAUUUCUGUUCCCUGGUAAACAAGGUUCAUAUUCCCCACAAGGUUUAAAGAUUAUUCUAAAUCAUUGUUCUUUAGGCUUGAUACUUGAGAGGUUAAUUAUGCAUAGAGUAUUCAGUAAUUGUGAUCGUGUAUUUUUGUUGUCUUAAUUCUUUGUUACACGCAGCUACAUGGUUCUAUUGUUAAGAGGUAUAUAUUGCUUAAUGUUUGCUAGUGGAACAUCUGCAUAAUUUAUUCUUUCAAGGUUAUUGAUAAAUAGUGUUGCAAUUUAUUCUUUAUUUUAGUGGAUUAGGAUUCCUUGCCUGAUAAUGAUGCUCCAAAUGAUCUGCCAUGGGAUAAUAAGUUGACCUCUCUAUUCAUGUGAGAAGAAUUGUGGAAAUUGUACACAUUUCCAUUCAUCUGUAUAUAUUUUUAACGGAUCUUAGUUUAUUUUUUGGUAAGUUGGUCAAUUGAUUAAUAUAAUGUUGACAUAGUUUUGUCUGUGUUGGCAUUUUAUUGGUCAAUUGAUCAACUUGUCCAAAAAUGAAUUUCAUCUUUCAUUCUUAACAAUAUUUUAUUACUAGUUGGUUCCAAAAGAAGAAAAAAAAAAUUCGAAUAUGAUAUUUUUUGUUUUUGUUGGUUCCAAAAGUCAAAACGUAAUGUUUUGUGAUUUAUAGUAAAUUGAAGACCGUACAUGAAUGUAUGUAUGGAAAAACCCCAUAUUAAUUUUUACAAUUUUUGUUAAAUUAAAUUUUUUAUUGAGGGAGAUUCAAGGGCCAAGGAUUGGAGAUUCAAGGGCCAAGGUAUGAUAAAAAUCAAUGAAAUUUGAAAUGGAGGAGUGUUGUUUGGUGGUGGUGGUGGUGGACCCAUAAGCUCAAAUUUGGAAAGAGCGCUCAGAUUUUAUGUUUGAGAGGUUGGUGGUUCAAGUCCACCUGGGUUCUUUAUUUCCUCUUAAGUUCUAAUUUUUCUGCUAGGUUUAUUUUGUGGGCGAAUUUAUAUUCAAAAUGUAGGGCAAGGUUGUUUAUUCGUAUCAAAAUUUGUUUUUAUCUUUAACGUUAGGUAAAUUUAUCAGUUUUAAAUGUAAAAAUGUUAUAGUUGAUUUCAAAGGGUUAAAAGAUUAACAUUUUAUAUGUUGUUAGAGCACAGGAAAUUAGAAAAACUUAUUAUUAGAGGUUUGAUAAGGAGUUUGAGAGGAAUAUAAAAAGAAAAUUGUUGACAACGAUAAAAUAGUUGAAUAAAAUAAAAAGAUAAGAAAAUUUAUCUCUACGGUGUUGGUUUAUUAAGUAGUAGAAGAUUAGUUUGAUAGACUGAUCUGAUAUGUUUCUUUAUCCUUUGGUGUUGGCCAACCAAGCAAGCAACGUGCAUUAUAUUGGUGAUUAUCUAUCUAUCUGGCUAAAGAAGGCAGCUACUACAGAGUAUGGAGUUUACUCGAGUCUAGGCUUUGUAUAAGGCAGGCAGGAAGGCAGCUACUACGGUGUUGUUUACUAUGGAGUAUGGUGGUGUUGGCGAACCAAGCAAGCAACGGAUGGGAUGGUGGUGCAUUAAAUUGGUGAUUAUCUAUCUUUCUGGCUAAAAAAGAAGGCAGCAGCAGCAGCAGCUACUACGGAGUAUGGAAUUUAAUCAAGUCUAGGCUUUGUUUAAGGCAGGCAGGCAGGCAUCCAUCUAUCUUAUUUUCUGAAUGUUUGUUUGUUUAUUUAUUGACGGCGGCUGCUGCUGCUUCCUUAAUCCGUCAAUAAAUUUUUUUUAUUGAUAUAUUUUGACUCAUGAAUUUGUUCUGGUUCCGCCACUGAUUCUACAUUCAUUACUAAUUCAGACUCUUGUCACAAUGAUCCCAUUAUAUCUUUUAAUGGAACAAAAGAGAGCUGAUAAUGGAAGAAAUUGUAAAUUAAAAUUAUAUCAAACCCGAUUUAGAUUUUGUUUUUGAUUCUCUCUCCAAUAUCAAGCCUAAGGCUUUUUAGAUAGACCUAUAUAAGUGUUGUCUGUAGUAUUAAUCUGCAGAUGUUAAGUAUUGGUCAAACUGCGGAUGUAAGUAUUGGCCAAGAACGUCGUAUUGGUCAAAUUUAUUUUUUUAAAAGUUUUUCGGGCUCCACAGUAUUAAAUUUAAAUUGUCCAUGUCAAAUUUACGAUUUCAUUGAUUCACUCUACAAUUAUGAAUCAAUGAUAUCUAAAAUAAAAAAUAUGUUUACUUCCUCAUUCUAAACUCAUAAAUCUCUCAAAGGGCUCUUAAAACUUUGAAUUCACUAUUUUGUUCCGUUCUGCUCCUUCAGACUAAGAUUAUAUAUUAUAAUUAUAAAUUUUUUAUUUAUAUAUUAUAUACAGAAUUCUGUGUACAUACAUAUAAUGAUACUUAUUUGUUUACUGUUUACAUAUAAGAUUUAAAAUUU